rnacentral:tRNA from 1 species
UGAUAAUUAGUUUAAAUCAAAACAAGUGAUUUCGACUCACUAAAUU